rnacentral:rRNA from 1 species
AUUGAACGCUGGCGGCAGGCCUAACACAUGCAAGUCGAGCGGAGCGUCGGACGGGUGAGUAUUGUCUAGGAAUCUGCUUGGCUGCGGGGGAUAACGUCCGGAAACGGGCGCUAAUACUGCCUAUCAUUAGAUGAGGCUAGUAUGGCUUAGCAUGUUGGUGGGGUAAAGGCGUAUCAAGGCGACGAUCCGUAACUGGUGUGAGGGGAUGAUCAGUCACACGUGAACUGAGACGCGGUCCAGCAUCCUACGGGAGGCAGCAGUGGAGAAUAUUGGAGAAUGGGCGAUAGGCUGUUCCAGCCAUGCCGCGUGUGUGAGAAAGGUCUUCGGAUUGUAGAGCACUUUAAGUUGGGAGGCGUUACCAGCAGAAUAAGCACCGGCUAACUUCGUGCCAGCAGCCGCGGUAAUAC